AGAGUUUGAUCCUGGCUCAGAACGAACGCUGGCGGCAGGCUUAACACAUGCAAGUCGAACGCACCGCAAGGUGAGUGGCAGACGGGUGAGUAACGCGUGGGAACGUGCCCUUCAGUUCGGGAUAACCCAGGGAAACUUGGGCUAAUACCGGAUACGUGCGAGAGCAGAAAGAUUUAUCGCUGAAGGAUCGGCCCGCGUCUGAUUAGCUAGUUGGUAGGGUAAUGGCCUACCAAGGCGACGAUCAGUAGCUGGUCUGAGAGGAUGAUCAGCCACAUUGGGACUGAGACACGGCCCAAACUCCUACGGGAGGCAGCAGUGGGGAAUAUUGGACAAUGGGCGCAAGCCUGAUCCAGCCAUGCCGCGUGAGUGAUGAAGGCCUUAGGGUUGUAAAGCUCUUUCGGCGGGGACGAUAAUGACGGUACCCGCAGAAGAAGCCCCGGCUAACUUCGUGCCAGCAGCCGCGGUAAUACGAAGGGGGCUAGCGUUGUUCGGAAUCACUGGGCGUAAAGGGCGCGUAGGCGGCCUGAUAAGUCGGGGGUGAAAGCCUGUGGCUCAACCACAGAAUUGCCUUCGAUACUGUCGGGCUUGAGACCGGAAGAGGUCAGUGGAACUGCGAGUGUAGAGGUGAAAUUCGUAGAUAUUCGCAAGAACACCAGUGGCGAAGGCGGCUGACUGGUCCGGUUCUGACGCUGAGGAGCGAAAGCGUGGGGAGCGAACAGGAUUAGAUACCCUAGUAGUCC
rnacentral:rRNA from 1 species